UCUGUGAGAAUGUUCAAGUCCUUGUCCACUGAAGCCAGGCUCAGGAGUUGUUGGGAGCAUCUAUCAGCACCUGUGAGAUAUGGCUUCUCCCUGGACAAAAUGGGAGAAGGUCAUCAGGCCAAUCUUCUGUGCUUCUAUGCAGCAGAAGCCCCAUGGGACUGAGGAUGAAGAGCCUUUGACCUAGGACAAGAGCCCCCACCUCAUCCCGGGCAGGAUGUCUCUUGAGCAAUAGGCAGUGAGGCAAGACUGAGUGGCUGGACCUGGAAUGCCAAGGACAUAAGCUGAGAAGUGCCACAAUUUUACAUCUGCAAUUUGGAGACCAAGGGGAUAUGGUGGUUUAAAUCUAAAGCCUGAGAAUCAGGAGAGUGAAUCACGUACCAGGCACGGUGUCUCAGCAAGAAGAAAGUAACGCAGGUGCAGAGUCAGUCAAUGUAGAGAACGUGAAGGCUCGUGCUGGACGUGUAAAGCAUUCUACUUAUGGAAACUCAAGAUUAUUUGGUCCAUUUUGGCAUUUAUUCACUUGAGAAACCAUCCUGAACUGGAUCUGC